AGGUAAAAAUAGAAAAAGAAAAGGCGGAAGCAAAUGAGAAGAUAGAAAGGGAACUGACUGAAGCUAGACUUUUGGAAAAGAACAUAUCAAAAUGUAUUGAGAAGAUGAAGAAUGAAGUCACAAACUGGAACCAGUAUUACAAUAAGAAGGAAGAAUGCCAACAGAAUUUAAGCAGGCUUACAAACUACUUGGAUCAAAGAGCCAAGAAUGGAGUGGUUUCAGAAGUAAAGCAGCUAGAAUCUACAAUAAAGGAUUGUGAGGCACAUCUGCAGAAAGCCCAGCAACAGAUUACUUCUAACCAUCAGG